rnacentral:rRNA from 1 species
UACGUAGGGUGCGAGCGUUGUCCGGAAUUAUUGGGCGUAAAGAGCUCGUAGGCGGUGUGUCGCGUCGGCCGUGAAAACCUGGGGCUCAACUCUGGGCGUGCGGUCGAUACGGGCAUCACUUGAGUUCGGCAGGGGAGACUGGAAUUCCUGGUGUAGCGGUGAAAUGCGCAGAUAUCAGGAGGAACACCGGUGGCGAAGGCGGCCUGCUGGGCAGUUGCUGACGCUGAGGCGCGACAGCGUGGGGAGCGAACAGG